rnacentral:rRNA from 1 species
UGGGGAAUAUUGGACAAUGGGCGAAAGCCUGAUCCAGCCAUGCCGCGUGUGUGAAGAAGGUCUUCGGAUUGUAAAGCACUUUAAGUUGGGAGGAAGGGCAUUAACCUAAUACGUUAGUGUUUUGACGUUACCGACAGAAUAAGCACCGGCUAACUCUGUGCCAGCAGCCGCGGUAAUACAGAGGGUGCAAGCGUUAAUCGGAAUUACUGGGCGUAAAGCGCGCGUAGGUGGUUUGUUAAGUUGGAUGUGAAAUCCCCGGGCUCAACCUGGGAACUGCAUUCAAAACUGACUGACUAGAGUAUGGUAGAGGGUGGUGGAAUUUCCUGUGUAGCGGUGAAAUGUGUAGAUAUAGGAAGGAACACCAGUGGCGAAGGCGACCACCUGGACUAAUACUGACACUGAGGUGCGAAAGCGUGGGGAGCAAACA